CCUACGGGUGGCAGCAGUGGGGAAUAUUGCGCAAUGGGCGAAAGCCUGACGCAGCGACGCCGCGUGAGGGAUGAAGGUCUUCGGAUCGUAAACCUCUGUCAGCAGGGAAGAACGGUCACUGUGCUAAUCAGCAGUGAAUUGACGGUACCUGCAAAGGAGGCCCCGGCUAACUCCGUGCCAGCAGCCGCGGUAAUACGGAGGGUGCGCGCGUUAAUCGGAAUUACUGGGCGUAAAGCGCUCGUAGGCGGUAUGUUAAGUCAAGGGGGAAAUCCCCGCGCUCAACGUGGGAACUGCCUUUGAAACUGGCAAACUGGAGGGUGGGAGAGGAUAGUGGAAUUCCAGGUGUAGGAGUGAAAUCCGUAGAUAUCUGGAGGAACAUCAGUGGCGAAGGCGACUAUCUGGCACAUAACUGACGCUGAGGAGCGAAAGCGUGGGUAGCAAACAGGAUUAGAUACCCUAGUAGUC
rnacentral:rRNA from 1 species